AACUCAAAAUGGAUUUAUCACUGGCUAUAAAAUUCGACACCGAAAGACGACCCGCAGGGGUGAGAUGGAAACCCUGGAGCCAAACAACCUGUGGUACCUGUUCACAGGCCUGGAGAAAGGAAGUCAGUACAGUUUCCAAGUGUCAGCCAUGACAGUCAACGGUACUGGACCACCUUCCAACUGGUAUACAGCGGAGACCCCAGAGAAUGAUCUAGAUGAGUCUCAAGUUCCUGAUCAGCCAAGCUCUCUUCAUGUGAGGCC